rnacentral:rRNA from 1 species
AGCGAACGCUGGCGGCAGGCUUAACACAUGCAAGUCGAGCGGGCACUUUCGGGUGUCCGCGGCGGACGGGUGAGUAACGCGUGGGAACGUGCCCUCUGGUUCGGAAUAACUCAGGGAAACUUGAGCUAAUACCGGAUACGCCCUUUUGGGGAAAGGCUUGCUGCCGGAGGAUCGGCCCGCGUCUGAUUAGCUAGUUGGUGAGGAACGGCUCACCAAGGCGACGAUCAGUAGCUGGUCUGAGAGGAUGAUCAGCCACACUGGGACUGAGACACGGCCCAGACUCCUACGGGAGGCAGCAGUGGGGAAUAUUGGACAAUGGGCGCAAGCCUGAUCCAGCCAUGCCGCGUGAGUGAUGAAGGCCUUAGGGUUGUAAAGCUCUUUUAUCCGGGACGAUAAUGACGGUACCGGAGGAAUAAGCCCCGGCUAACUUCGUG